CUGAUCCUGAACUACACAAGACACAACAACUGAUCUAUUCAACACAGUUCAAUCUACAAACCAGGAACAUUCCCUUUAUUCAACAUGCUGGACCUGGAUUACUGGAUGGUUUAUGGGUUGAUUCUAACCAUUACAACACGUAUCGACUGUGAAGAACUGAGUCCAGUCAAGAAUGAAGAGUCCAGUUUAGAAGGAAACUCUGUUACUCUCAUAUAUAAAUACGCUCAACAAAUGUCUAAUGUUUAUAAUUUCUUCUGGUAUCGACAAUAUCCUGGAAAACCACCAGAGCUCCUCAUCUCACACUCAUCCUCAGGAUCAACAGGAAUUGAAAUCGUGUCUGGACUGAAGAUUAAUGUGGAGAAAAACCUCAUCUCUAUGAGCAUCUCCUCUGCUGCAGUGUCAGACUCUGCUGUGUACUACUGUACUUUGAUUGUCCUCAUUGAACCAUCCUACUCCAUUAGUGGUGCUGAGCUACUGACCAACUCCAGACACAAACAGUACCUUGGUCCAGACCAUUGA